CCUACGGGUGGCAGCAGUGAGGAAUAUUGGUCAAUGGGCGCGAGCCUGAACCAGCCAAGCCGCGUGAGGGAAGACGGUACUAUGGAUUGUAAACCUCUUUUGUCGGGGAGCAAAAGACGGCACGCGUGGCGGUACGAGAGUACACGAAGAAAAAGCAUCGGCUAACUCCGUGCCAGCAGCCGCGGUAAUACGGAGGUAGCGAGCGUUAUCGGGUUUUAUGGGGUUUAAAGGGUGCGCAGGCGGAAGAUAAAGUCGGAGGUAAAAGUGAGAGGCCCAACCGCUUAGAGCUGUUGAAACUGGGUUGCUUGAGUGAGCGAGAAGUAUGCGGAAUGCGUGGUGUAGCGGUGAAAUGCAUAGAUAUCACGAAGAACUCCGAUUGCGAAGGCAGCAUACUGGAGCUCAACUGACGCUGAUGCACGAAAGUGUGGGUAUCGAACAGGAUUAGAUACCCCUGUAGUC
rnacentral:rRNA from 1 species